rnacentral:rRNA from 1 species
UUGAACGCUGGCGGCAGGCCUAACACAUGCAAGUCGAACGGUAACAGGAAGCAGCUUGCUGCUUYGCUGACGAGUGGCGGACGGGUGAGUAAUGUCUGGGAAACUGCCUGAUGGAGGGGGAUAACUACUGGAAACGGUGGCUAAUACCGCAUAACGUCGCAAGACCAAAGAGGGGGACCUUCGGGCCUCUUGCCAUCAGAUGUGCCCAGAUGGGAUUAGCUWGUUGGUGAGGUAACGGCUCACCAAGGCGACGAUCCCUAGCUGGUCUGAGAGGAUGACCAGCCACACUGGAACUGAGACACGGUCCAGACUCCUACGGGAGGCAGCAGUGGGGAAUAUUGCACAAUGGGCGCAAGCCUGAUGCAGCCAUGCCGCGUGUAUGAAGAAGGCCUUCGGGUUGUAAAGUACUUUCAGCGGGGAGGAAGGUGUUGKGGUUAAUAACCGCAGCAAUUGACGU